rnacentral:ncRNA from 1 species
AGGGUGUCCCACGGGGACCUAACAGGGAAGCUGGGUGAGAAUCCCGCGCAGUCCCGCUGCCGUGAGAGGGGAGCCGCCCCGCAGAUUUGCCACUGGGCCGGAGAAAGGAGGCCCGGGAAGGCGCGGGGACGGCGGUGGGCCUUGAGCCGGGAGACCUG